GUACAGAUGAUGCUGUUAAUGAGUGUUUAGGUAGUGUUGAUUAAAAAAAAAAUAAUGUGCCUUCCUGCCUUACUAGAAUCAUAGAAGUUCAUAUCUGGAAUUCAUACCCCUUAUUUCACGGAUGAGGAAAUUGACUCCCAGAGAGGUUAACUGACUUGCCCAAAUUAAGAGCCAAAAUUAGCAACUCACAUUUAAGCAGGGAGUCAGUUUUUAUGUACUAAGACCAUUAUAUUUUGAUAUCCAGAUAUUACUUUUCUCAACUUUAAAUGUUUUAAUAUUGUCUUCAUCAGGCCUGCUGAGCAUUGUCAUUUUAAAAUCUGAGAAUAUUUGAUAAAUUGAUGAAAGAAAAAUUAUGAAGUCAUAGACAUUAGAAUCAAGUCUCUUGGCAUUAUUUCUAGUUGGUAUAUCUUUUAUGCUAAAAAUAUUCAAUAUUCAGUUGCUGGUCACAAAUAAUUUCUCCCCCACAAUAGGUAUUGUCUUCUAAGAACUCUGAAGCAAUGUCAGACAUUGAGGGAAGCUCUCAUUGCUGCAGGAAAAGAGAUUAUAUGGCAUGGGCGGACAAAAGAAGAACCAGCUCAUUACUGUAGCAUUUGUGAAGUGGAGGUUUUUGAUCUGCUUUUUGUCACUAAUGAGAGUAAUUCACGAAAGACCUACAUAGUACAUUGCCAAGAUUGUGCACGAAAAACAAGCGGAAACUUGGAAAACUUUGUGGUGCUAGAACAGUACAAAAUGGAGGACCUGAUGCAAGUCUAUGACCAAUUUACAUUA
rnacentral:lncRNA from 10 species